AGCUUAGAUGUGGUUUUGGAGGCU
rnacentral:siRNA from 1 species